AUGUGGGUUCCAAGGCGGUAUCCCAAGCAUACUGGAAGCCUGGUGAUUCUCACUUUUGGGCGGGUCUAUGGAUCCUUUUCGAUUAAGGACGGUUCGGAAAUUAGAAUCUGGGAGGACAAGUGGCUAGGAAAUGCCACACUCCGGGAACACUAUCCAGCUCUAUACAACAUUGUGCAUCGCAAGGGUGAUACUAUCGCCACGGUAAUGGAGUCAUUUCCGCCAAAUGUGACGUUCAGAAGAGAUUUAGUUGGACCCAAACUCCAAUCGUGGUGCAUCCUACUUCAACGGUUGUCCACAGUGCAAUUGUCACAUGGGUCAGAUGUAUUUUGGUGGAACCUACAUGGGAAAGGAUAA
rnacentral:rRNA from 1 species